AUGCAUGCAUCCUGUUUCAUGCUCCUCUCCACCCUCCCUAGAGGGCAUGCAGCUUGUCGGGUGCCGGCAUGUGCUUGCAGGUCCUACCAUCCUAGCAACCGAUGGGUCACCCCUUUUCAGCGAGCACUGCGUGCAGUGCGGGCGAGUGUGACAUGCAGUGCGGGUGAUUGUGCCGUGCAGCUCGCCGGGCGUCUGGGCGACGAACCUCACUUGCAGCUCUCUCCUCCAUCUCCUUGUUGUUCGUGGGAAGAAGGGGACAAGCGCACUGCACUAGGGGUGCUCUUUGUUGGUGUGGGUGCAGCUCACAUGCAUUUGUGGAGUUCAACGGCGCACAGGCCUGCGCGUGCGGUCCCAAAGGAUGAAGUGAUGCAGUUCUAUUGGAUGCCCUGUUACUCAAUUUUGUUGUUGUUGAAAAGUGCACUGCAUUAG
rnacentral:rRNA from 1 species